AACGAACGCUGGCGGCAGGCCCAACACAUGCAAGUCGAACGCUCCGCAAGGGGAGUGGCGCACGGGUGAGUAACGCGUGGGAAUCUACCUAUUAGUAAGGAAUAACAGUUGGAAACGAUUGCUAAUACCUUAUACGCCCUACGGGGGAAAGAUUUAUCGCUAAUAGAUGAGCCAGCGUAAGAUUAACUAGUUGGUGAGGUAAUGGCUCACCAAGGCUACGAAGUUUAGCUGGUCUGAGAGGAUGAUAAGCCACACUGGAACUGAGACACGGUCCAAACUCCUACGGUAGGCAGCAGUGGGAAAUAUUGAACAAUGGGCGAAAGCCUGAUCCAGCCAUGCCGCGUGAAUGAUGAAGGCCUUAGGGUUGUAAAGGUCUUUCGCCGCCGAGGAUAAUGACGGUAAGCGGAUAAGAAGCCCCGGCUAACUUCGUGCCAGCCGCCGCUGUAA
rnacentral:rRNA from 1 species